rnacentral:rRNA from 1 species
CACAUUGCGCCUGUCAGCCCUUUCUGGCAGGCAUGCCUGUCCGAGCGUCGUCGUCCAUCUUUUCAGGCCUUU